rnacentral:rRNA from 1 species
GGUGAACCUGCGGAAGGAUCAUUAACGAGUAACGGGUCCUUCUGGGCUCGCACUCCAACCCUUUGUUUACCUGCUCUGUGCCUCGGCAGGGUGCCUCUCAGGUACACCUGCCGGGAGAGAGGCCGCGACAGACAGCUGGUUUUGGCUUGCUUGAGACGCGGCUUCUGCUAAAUAAACUCUGUAAAACUUAAGAGUCUGAUCUAAAAUAUAUGGAACUAAAACUUUCAACAACGGAUCUCUUGGUUCUGGCAUCGAUGAAGAACGCAGCGAAAUGCGAUAAGUAGUGUGAAUUGCAGAAUUCAGUGAAUCAUCGAAUCUUUGAACGCACAUUGCGCCCCUCGGCAUUCCGUGGGGCAUACCUGUUCGAGCGUCAUUUCAACCCUCAGGCGGCUCUUUUGGUCUGUCUGGUCUUGGGCAUCGUCCAAGGACGUGCCUUAAAAGAAUUGGCAGCGUAGGUGCCGGCUUCGAGCGUAGCAGAUGCGAUUUGCUUUGGAAGCCGGCGCUCACCUUGCCAGAAUAAUCUUUGAAGGUUGACCUCGGAUCAGGUAGGGAUA